GUCGGGAUAGCUCAGUUGGUAGAGCAGAGGACUGAAAAUCCUCGUGUCC
rnacentral:tRNA from 2 species